UACGUAGGGUGCAAGCGUUAAUCGGAAUUACUGGGCGUAAAGAGUGCGUAGGCGGUUCUCCAAGUCCGUUGUGAAAGCCCCGGGCUCAACCUGGGAAUGGCAGUGGAAACUAGGGGACUUGAAUCUGGCAGAGGGGGGUGGAAUGCCGCGUGUAGCAGUGAAAUGCGUAGAGAUGCGGCGGAACACCGAUGGCGAAGGCAGCCCCCUGGGCUGAGAUUGACGCUCAGGCACGAAAGCGUGGGGAGCAAACAGG
rnacentral:rRNA from 1 species